rnacentral:rRNA from 1 species
AUGUUCUGGCCAGUUGAUGCACAAAGGGUCCUUGCAAUUCCUUUGUCACAACAUGAUAUGUUGGAUUUUGUCGCUUGGAGCUAUUCAAAGAAUGGAACUUUUUCUGUUUGAUCAGCCUAUGCAGUGCAAUGGGAACACCAACACGGUGGAAAAUUAAGAAGAACCGAUGAUAUGGGACAUAUGACUAUCAAUCCUAUUUGGAGUGAGAUUUGGAAAUUAUCUUGUCCAUUGAAGGUUAAAAUUUUCAUUUGGCGCACACUGCAUGGCACCCUCCCGUGUAGAGUUAAUUUGGCGAAUAGACAUAUAAAGGUUAUCCCCAAUUGUCCGGCGUGUUCCUUUGGAUUAGAGGAUACAAAACAUAUAUUAUUUCAGUGUCGGAAAGCAAAGGAGGUUCGGAAAAAACUGGGUCUAGAUCAGGUCACUAAAAGAGCGUGCAAAGUUGAUUAUGUUGGUGAGCCGGUGCUUGAAUUUUUGCUUUCUAUGCCUGAACGGGAGCUUAUGAUCUUGGGUAUGCCGGAUGUCCUUGAAUUAAUUGUAAUUUCAGCUUGGUAUUUAUGGUGGAAGAGGCGAAAACUGGUCCAUAAGGAGAAAACCCAAGACGCUAACCAGAUCUCCAUGGGAAUUCGUGCAAUUACGCUAAACUAUGUUUUGGCUAUAUCACCAAAGGCUACGAUGAAAAGAGGAGGUUGGGUCCAACCUCCAAGGGGGUUUGUAAAACUUAAUGUGGAUGCCUCUUUUGAUCAUGACCGACUCGGGGGCACGGCUGUUGCUAUUUAG